AGCACCCACACUAAGAGGAGCAGGUACACCUAUACAAAAAGUAACAAUCCUGUGGUAAACCUGAGGCCUGGUAUUCUUUAGAGUCUCAAUCCUAUAAGUUAUUAUAAGACACAAAUAUUCAAAACAUUUAACACCCAAUCAUUAUCACUUCUGAACCCACCCCUGCAGUUAGAUCUUGUUUGUUGUCUAUUUCCGGUGACUAUUUUGACUUAUGCAGUGGAUGGGCAGUUCUCAAUGUUUCAAUGAUGUCACUCCUAUAAAUACUACUGGUGGUCAAGAGCAUGCCCAUGCCUAUAUCCACCUGAGGUUCUUACAGGAUAUCAAUUGUACAGCUAGCAAAAAGGACAAGAAAAUCGAAUCAUGAAUCACUCUAGAUAAGAGUACAGAGAAAUCGAACAGCUGCAGUACAUUUCUUAAUGACGAAGGAGUGGUUGUUUCAUACCAAUGUCAUACAGCACGAUCAGGAACUCUUCUUCGGGGAGGCCGUAGAAGUACUUGGGCUGGUCCAGCAUGGAAUACAGGCUACUCCCAUCGCAGAACUCCAUCGCCAAAACAUAGUUGUUGGAAGUAAUCUGGAAAA